CCUGCGGGUGGCAGCAGUAGGGAAUAUUGCUUAAUGGGCGAAAGCCUGAAGCAGCAACGCCGCGUGGACGAAGGAGGCCUUCGGGUCGUAAAGUCCUUUUAUGAGUGAAGAGGAAGGACGGUAGCUCAUGAAUAAGUCUCGGCUAACUACGUGCCAGCAGCCGCGGUAAA
rnacentral:rRNA from 1 species